GAGGUGGGGUGGAUCUGUAGGGAUGGCCUCAGGGAAUGUCAUGUCCCUCCCUUUCCAGGGUGCCAUGAACAUAGGGCAGUAGGAGUGAGGAGGACAGGGUGCCAUGGGGACUGAUGUUAUGGAAGAGGGGGACUUGAGCUGGCUCAGGAUAGGAUGAGGGUAGAAGCUGGAGGAUAGCACAGGAGAGAGGGACAACGUGCGCAAGUCGAGUAUGGAGAUGACGCUACCAUGUUCCUGGAAAACUGGAAGAGGCUACAGAUGCGACUGGGCUACUUUUGGGACCUGACUGGCAUAGAAGAGGAAGAAGAACAUUCCAGGCCUGAGUAUGAAACCAAAGUUCGAGAGAAAAUGCUAAAGGAGAGCAACAAGUCUGCUGUCCAGAAAUUGGAAACAAACACGACGGAGUGUGGCGAUGAGGUAUGA
rnacentral:sRNA from 1 species